GAAAACCCUUUUCUAAGGGCAAUUAAUUAAUAUCUACCACAUCUUAAGAUACUUAAAAUACGUUUAACUAACUGCAGUUCUACCUCUUAAGCAUCCAUGUAACAAUUAUGUGCACAAGUGUGCACAUAAUUGUGAAAAAGUACAAAGCCUACCACUUGUGAAGCUCUGGGUUAACAACUGACUCUUCUCUCUCAGAGUAUAAAAGCAUGUUCAGUGAUAAAAACUGGAAACAAAUACCUAUCUGCAGCAAAUUGUUUGAACAAGUUGUAUAUGGUCAUAUAACAUGUGUCUUUAAAAGAGUUAGGUAGGCCAAGUGUGGUGUGCAUGCCUUUAAUUGUGGCACAGGAAGCAAAGACAGGCUGAUCUCUUUAGUUUAAGGCUUCAUCUACAUAGUGAGUCCCAAGAUAGCCUGGGCUAUGUAGGAAGAACCUGUCUCUAAAACAAAUAAAAUGAAAUAGAUUUAUAUGACCACAAGAAGAUACCCAAGAUAUAAUGAUAAAUGUCAAUGAGAAGCAAAAUAAAACACAUCAUACAAUUGUAUGUGUGCAUUUAUCAUGUGAUCUUCCUAAAGGACAGCUACACUCAUAUUUGCAUAUGUGAGGACAUUUUCUGAAAACAGUUGUAAUUGCCUAAGAGUGACAUGACAGAGAUGAGAAAAGUGGCUUUUCUUUUCCGCUUCUGAAUCCUUGCCAUAUGUUACUAUGACUUUUAAGUGGUUUAAAAAACAGAAUGAAGAAAUAGAGCAGGAACUAAACAGUUAAUGUUUUGUGAAGUGUGUUGAAUGUGAAAAGUGAUCCCAUAAAUGCCUAUUAUUUUUACUAAACAAUAGACGUGUCAGGCUUCUGUAACCUGAAGAAAGCAGGACUGCAGCAUGUCCUUGUGCAGGAGCAUAUGGUGGCUCUGACCAGGUGGGAGGGACGCUUUAGAGAGCCUUUCUCUGGUGUUGAGAUGCAGAUCUUCUCAGGGUUCCACAUUGCUCUUGUGUGUGAAAUUCUAUGCAAAUGAUUAUAAAAGCUCAGUGGCAUGGUUCAACUCAAGUGUUUAAAACAAAACACUCACAAAACAUGACUGCUUUACGGAGCUAUUGUUAACAUUGUGCUGUACGGUAUUGUCUGAAGAGUGCCUUUGACUUAGUGUAGUAAGAUAGCUCUGUCUGCACAAUAAAUCUGAAAUUGGGGGGAUUAUCUUGAGAGUUUUGUCCUGGCAUUUUGCAGAUUAAAAGAUACAUCAGGUUGUGUUACUCCGGGUAACAAGAUUUUUGUUUUGUAACGUUUAAAGUGUUGGUUUUCUUCUUUUUGACACUCAAGGGAUUAAUUUACUAUUUAUUUCUCUAGAUCAAACCCUUAGAGGAAACAUCAAAACACAAGGAAGUCCUUAGUAUAAUCAUUUUUCUUAUGACCAAGUACUUAAAUAAUACAGUUGCAUAAGUUAAUGCUAUUAUUUGAAAGCUUAAAAGUAGAAACAUGAAGUAAAUAUUACAGAUAUCAGAUGACUAUAGACUGUACAGUAAAACUUCCUAAAUGAAAUGAUAAUGUUUUUAUGUAUUUCAAUUUUCACUCAUUUCAUCAACUUCUAGGUAAUGAAAUAAAUACAAGUCCCUUUCUAUUACUGGAAGCUGACUGUCAAGUUUGUGAUAAUAAAAACUUGUCGUCCUAUCCAAACAGUGCUUUUGUCCACAUAUCUUGAAAAGAAUUAACUUUCUUUUUUUUUUUCCUGUAUGUGUGUAUGAACUGGGGUCAGAGACAAUUUAUAAGAAUCAGAUCUCUUCUUCUACCAUGUAGGAUUGAACUCAGGUCAUGAGCCUUGGCAGCAGCUGUCCUUAACUACUGAGCCAUUUCAUUGGGCCUGGAUCUUACUUUUUUAAGACAGGGUCUCACCGUGUAGCCCGGGCUAGCCUAGAACUUUCUAUGUAGACCAGGCUGGCUUUAAACUCACAGAUAUUCUCUGGUCUCAGCCUUCUGAGUGUUGGGAUUAAACAUGUAUGACACCAUGCCCCACCCUAGAACUUCUUAUAUCAGAGUCAUUACCACUCCUUAACGCUU
rnacentral:lncRNA from 1 species